UACGAGGGGGGCGAGCGUUGUUCGGAAUUAUUGGGCGUAAAGGGUGCGUAGGCGGUUUGGUAAGUCUUAUGUGAAAUCUACAGGCUCAACUUGUAGUCUGCAUGAGAAACUGCCGGGCUUGAGUAUGGGAGAGGUGAGUGGAAUUCCUGGUGUAGCGGUGAAAUGCGUAGAUAUCUGGAGGAGUACCGGUGGCGAAGGCGGCAUCCUGGACCAUAACUGACGCUGAGGCGCGAAAGCUAGGGGAGCAAACGGG
rnacentral:rRNA from 1 species